GACGAACGCUGGCGGCGUGCUUAACACAUGCAAGUCGAACGGAAAGGCCCUUCGGGGUACUCGAGUGGCGAACGGGUGAUUAACACGUGGGUGAUCUGCCCUGCACUUUGGGAUAAGCCUGGGAAACUGGGUCUAAUACCGAAUAGGACCACGCGCUUCAUGGUGUGUGGUGGAAAGCUUUUGCGGUGUGGGAUGGGCCCGCGGCCUAUCAGCUUGUUGGUGGGGUAAUGGACUACCAAGGCGACGACGGGUAGCCGGCCUGAGAGGGUGACCGGCCACACUGGGACUGAGAUACGGCCCAGACUCCUACGGGAGGCAGCAGUGGGGAAUAUUGCACAAUGGGCGCAAGCCUGAUGCAGCGACGCCGCGUGAGGGAUGACGGCCUUCGGGUUGUAAACCUCUGUCAAUAGGGACGAAGCGCAAGUGACGGUACCUAUAGAAGAAGCACCGGCCAACUACGUG
rnacentral:rRNA from 1 species